CCUAUUAUGGGGCCAAGUUUGUUGAUCUGAACUUCUCUGGCUAGAUCAUGUUAUUUUCCAAGAGAAAAACCUCAAGUCUUCAUGGUAGGACCCUCCAACAGUCUCUCAAACAAGUAUGAAUCCCACUGUUGGAUACAGAUUCAGCUCAACGUGCAAUUCUGCUACCUUUCUGAGAUUACAUUUUUUCCAAUCAAGAGGUAUAUUGGGCAGCAUGUUCAGCUUGAAUGACUGUUAAGAAACGAAGUGAAAACAAUUGGAUCUACCAGUCAGGGCCAAGAGCAUGACUCUGACUCAGCUCAGGAGAGAACGGCAGGAGUGGUCAUUUAUGGGACUAUAUGAGAUCCCGAAGAAAAAAUCUGUGUAGGGAGAGGAAAGAAGACUCCAAUAUCCAGGGUGUCAAGAAGAUGCAAAGCCAGAGAAGGAAAUCAGGAAGUAGAAGAAACUAGAUAUUUUUACAAUGGAUGCGGAGGGUUGCUUGUGUUGUGUUCAGGAAGAUGCAAGAAACGGAACUCAUAGAACUUCAAUUCAAUAGAGGAAUGUUUUCACGUAAUGACAACUUCUGCUAUCUCUGCAACGUGUAACGAUAGGAGCUUGAAUCAUUAAUACUGGAUUCCACAAACCCUCAAGGCUGUUUUUUCAGGUUGAAUCAUCUCUGCCUCUUACCACAGAGAACUGGCAUGAAAGCACAGAACAAACAUCUACAAUGUACUUCAAGGUCAGACAACCGGCAACUAGAAGACAACUGGAAAAGACGGACACAUCCUGAUGUGGGAACUCCUUCUAACUGCACUGUUGAACUGCUCCUGUAGUCUUGUGCACAAUAUGUAUGGCAGCUCACAAUCUUUCAGAUCAGAAGGACCCGUUCUCCUGUUCUAUGUCGAGCAUGGAAAAGAACACUUCGUGAUCCAUCUACAAUCGAAGAAAAUUCUUUCAGGCAGUGUGCUUUUUGUAAUGAAGGAUUAACACGAA